rnacentral:rRNA from 1 species
GCUUACGGCCAUACCACCCUGAAAACGCCCGAUCUCGUCUGAUCCUAAGCAGGGUCGGGCCUGGUUAGUACUUGGAUGGGAGACCGCCUGGGAAUACCAGGUGCUGUAAGCU